rnacentral:rRNA from 1 species
GACGAACGCUGGCGGCGUGCUUAACACAUGCCAGUCGAACGGUAAGGCUCCAGCUUGCUGGGGUACACGAGUGGCGAACGGGUGAGUAACACGUGGGUGACCUGCCCUGCACUUCGGGAUAAGCCUGGGAAACUGGGUCUAAUACCGGAUAGGACCGCACCGUGAGGGUGUGGUGGAAAGUUUUUUCGGUGUGGGAUGGGCCCGCGGCCUAUCAGCUUGUUGGUGGGGUAAUGGCCUACCAAGGCGGCGACGGGUAGCCGGCCUGAGAGGGUGGACGGCCACAUUGGGACUGAGACACGGCCCAGACUCCUACGGGAGGCAGCAGUGGGGAAUAUUGCACAAUGGGCGGAAGCCUGAUGCAGCGACGCCGCGUGGGGGAUGACGGCCUUCGGGUUGUAAACUCCUUUCACCAUCGACGAAGGGUUUCUGACGGUAGAUGGAGAAGAAGCACCGGCUAACUACGUG